AUGAAAAAGGAGCUGGCUGACAACAUACUUUAUAUAGUUCCUCAGACAGACAUUAUUCUAAAUGAGAUGACCACAAACACAGUAUCAUCAGUCAUGUAUGCAAAUGCUUUCUCCCGAUCACGUUCUCCUCCACCUGUUCCUGCACAACAGAGGCACCGCCUGACUUCAACCAGCAGUUUUCUGUCAGAUUCAAGCCGAAACUCUUCAAUGGAGGACAUGGACUUUGUCUCUUUGCUCAGAGAGUUUCAACACAUGCAUCUCAGUGGCAGUGAGAAUGUUUCAGUAUUGGUUUCUCGUAACAAGGUGCUGAAGAGUGCUAAAGAUUUUGUUUCCAACUCUAAUUUCCCUUGGACCAAAAUCCCUCUCAUUACAUUUGAUGGCGAGGAAGCACUUGACUGUGGAGGUCCACGGAGAGAGUUUUUCAGAAUCUUGAUGAUGGAGGUGCAGAGCUCGCUGGGCAUCUUUGAGGGGCAGCCUGGACACUUGUUCUUCACCUAUGACCAGAUGGCUUUGGAGGAACACAAGUAUGAGUUGGCGGGGAAGCUGAUUGUGUGGUCUGUGGCUCAUGGCGGCCCAGGACUCAAGUCUCUUGACCCCUGCCUGUACCAGCUGAUGUGCACCCAGGAAUGUCAACUGGUAGACUUUGACUGGCACCUAAUACCAGAUGCUGACAUUCAGGACAAACUGCAAAAGGUUUCUGUCCAUUUCUUCAUAAAAAUAUUCAUCUUCACCCUUCUUUAA
rnacentral:lncRNA from 12 species